GUUAUUCAAAUGCCUAUCUUUUGA
rnacentral:siRNA from 1 species